rnacentral:rRNA from 1 species
CCUACGGGAGGCUGCAGUGGGGAAUAUUGGACAAUGGGCGAAAGCCUGAUCCAGCCAUGCCGCGUGUGUGAAGAAGGCCUUCGGGUUGUAAAGCACUUUCAGUGGGGAAGAAAGCCUUGGGGCUAAUACCCUCGAGGAAGGACAUCACCCACAGAAGAAGCACCGGCUAACUCCGUGCCAGCAGCCGCGGUAAUACGGAGGGUGCGAGCGUUAAUCGGAAUUACUGGGCGUAAAGCGCGCGUAGGCGGUCUGAUAAGCCGGUUGUGAAAGCCCCGGGCUCAACCUGGGAACGGCAUCCGGAACUGCCAGGCUAGAGUGCAGGAGAGGAAGGUAGAAAUCCCGGUGUAGCGGUGAAAUGCGUAGAGAUCGGGAGGAAUACCAGUGGCGAAGGCGGCCUUCUGGACUGGCACUGACGCUGAGGUGCGAAAGCGUGGGUAGCAAACAGGAUUAGAUACCCCAGUAGUC